rnacentral:rRNA from 1 species
AUUGAACGCUGGCGGCAUGCCUUACACAUGCAAGUCGAACGGCAGCACGGGAGCAAUCCUGGUGGCGAGUGGCGAACGGGUGAGUAAUAUAUCGGAACGUGCCCAGUCGUGGGGAUAACGUAGCGAAAACUACGCUAAUACCGCAUACUAUCUAUGGAUGAAAGCGGGGGAUCGCAAGACCUCGCGCGAUUGGAGCGGCCGAUAUCAGAUUAGGUAGUUGGUGAGGUAAAGGCUCACCAAGCCGACGAUCUGUAGCUGGUCUGAGAGGACGACCAGCCACACUGGGACUGAGACACGGCCCAGACUCCUACGGGAGGCAGCAGUGGGGAAUUUUGGGACAAUGGACGCAAGUCUGAUCCAGCCAUUCCGCGUGCAGGAUGAAGGCCCUCGGGUUGUAAACUGCUUUGUACGGACGAAAAGGUUUCUAUUAAUACUAGGAGCUCAUGACGGUACCGUAAGAAUAAGCACCGGCUAACUACGUGCCAG